GGGGAAGGAUUAGCGGCGAACGGGUGAGUAACACGUUGAUACCUGCCCCCAGGUCAGGGAUAGUCCAAGCAAACUUGGUUUAAUACCGGAUAGUCUCUUCGGAGUAAAGAUUUAUCGCCAGGGGAGGGGUCUGCGGUCUAUCAGCUAGUUGGUGAGGUAAUGGCUCACCAAGGCUAUGACGGAUAAUUGGUCUGAGAGGAUGACCAGUCACAAUGGAACUGAGACAAGGUCCAUACUCC
rnacentral:rRNA from 1 species